rnacentral:rRNA from 1 species
GACGAACGCUGGCGGCGUGCUUAACACAUGCAAGUCGAGCGGGUCUGCCCUGUUUUUUGCGGGGUGGGUCAGUGGCGAACGGGUGAGUAACACGUGAGUAACCUGCCCCUCACUUCUGGAUAACCGCUUGAAAGGGUGGCUAAUACGGGGUGUUCUGGCUGUGCCGCAUGGUGUGGCUGGGAAAGAUUCACUUUUGUGGUGUUUUGGUGGGGGAUGGGCUCGCGGCCUAUCAGCUUGUUGGUGGGGUGAUGGCCUGCCAAGGCUUUGACGGGUAGCCGGCCUGAGAGGGUGGGCGGUCACACUGGGACUGAGAUACGGCCCAGACUCCUGCGGGAGGCAGCAGUGGGGGGUAUUGCACAAUGGGCGGAAGCCUGAUGCAGCGACGUCGCGUGAGGGAUGGAGGCCUUCGGGUUGUGAACCUCUUUCGCCGGUGAAGAAGGUCCUGCUCUUUGUGGUGGGGUUGACGGUAGCCGGGUUAUGAAGCGCCGGCUAACUACGUG